rnacentral:tRNA from 1 species
GUUGUGGCACAGUGGUAGAGUGCUUACCUAGCAAGUGCAAGGUCCUGGGUUCAAUCCCCAGCACAACA